rnacentral:rRNA from 1 species
UACAGAGGUGGCAAGCGUUGUUCGGAAUUACUGGGCGUAAAGGGCGCGUAGGCGGCCUACUAAGUCAGACGUGAAAUCCCCCGGCUUAACCUGGGAACUGCGUCUGAUACUGGAAGGCUUGAGGAUGGGAGAGGGAUGUAGAAUUCCAGGUGUAGCGGUGAAAUGCGUAGAUAUCUGGAGGAAUACCGGUGGCGAAGGCGGCAGCCUGGAGCAUUUCUGACGCUGAGGCGCGAAAGCUAGGGGAGCAAACGGG